rnacentral:lncRNA from 1 species
CUGAUGCCCAUGCCCCCUCACCAGCUAACUGUGGCUUGCACCUUUACCUGUUCCCUUCAUUUUCCCUUCUCCAGAGGAAGAGGUGCUCUCCACAAGCCUGUGACCAACUGUUCCCCUCAGCCGGCACACUGGCUCCUCUUCUCCUGCCUGCCACAGACCUCUCUCCUUCAUGGGCCCACUGGGGCUCUUUGAGCCUAUUCUCUACCCCCUUCAUUAUCAUGCCUUGCAAACACCAUCAUGAGCAAAAAUCAAAGCUGGUGUUAGACUCUCUUGCUUUCCAUAGCUGACCCUGGCUUCCCUGCUUUCUGUGAUGAAUUCACGGUAUGUGUGGGCUUUGCCAACUGUUCCCAGCCCUUACCAGGUUCCCAUUCAUACCUGGCUCUAAUUCACACCUUACAAAUCGGCGUCCACCCCACCUUUGCCUGAAAUGGCACCUCCUAGGGCAAUUGAUGGCUGCAGUCAUCAACUCUGAUGCCUUCUCAGCCUUCUUCCGCCAUCACCUCUCAGCGACCUUUGGCCUUGAUAGCUAUGUGAUCAUCUACCAGACCCUGCACCCAGGCUCAGCCUGAUCUUGCCCCAGUGGCCAGGCCCUUGAGUGGGACUGCCGGGAAUUGAGUCCAGCUUUUCUAGCCAUCUGACCGUGGCCAGUUAGCCUCUUAUGUUCUGUUUGCUUCUCUAUAAAAUGGGGAUAAUAACACUACUUAUGUCACAAGGUCCUCAUGAAGAUUAAGUGAAAUUAUGCACGUAAACAUCUCAGAACAAUGCCUGGCACAGAAGGGACACCUGUGAGGUUAGCUAUUAAUUCAUAGCCUCACCAGACUUACCCCACGUCUGCUCCCCUCCUCCUUUGGGCUCUGGCUUAGGCUCUGCCCUCAUGCAUGCCAUCCUGCUUGGAUGCUGGGUAGCUUUGCACUUGGCUCUGCCUUGGCCUGCAAAUAACAAAUCUGAGCUCAAAUGAGCUUUAGCAGAAAAGGACUUUGAUUGGCUCCAAUAGCUGAAUAAUCUGUAUCCAGGUCAGGUGAGGCUUCAUCUCGGGCUUCACUCUGAUUCAAGGCCCCUUUUCUCUCUUGUUCUUUUGGGGGCUCCAUCUCCCAGGCCUAUGAGCAGGAACAACCCUCAUGCUUCCAAGAUGGCCCCAGGAACUCUCAAGAUCCAUUUUCUUGGUGCAAAUAUAGCAGAAAGUGACUCUCUGCUUCCUGGAAGUUUCAAACUCAAAUCCAGGAAUAGUCUCCUGUAGCAGCCUGCCUUGGGCCGUGUGCCCAUAUCUGAGCCAGUCACUAGAGCCAGGGGUUUAAGGAGAUCAGAGUCCACUUCUGGAGAGGAUGAGAGUGAAGUCAGCACCACCAAAACAUAGGGACCAGCUGUGGAGAAAUUGUGAGUACUGGAAGGACAGGAUAGGAGGAAUGGAUGAUGGGGAGAAAACCGACUAAUAUGCAGAUGCCCUUUCCUCCAAGAGGCCUUCCCUAAGUCUUCCUCCUUCAGUUUCUAUUACAUGAAACUCUGUAACUCUCCUCUCCUCUCUCCUCUUCUUUUUUUUUUUUUUUUUUUUGAGAUGGAGUCUUGCUCGGUCGCCCAGGCUGGAGUGCGGUGGCAUGAUCUCGGCUCACUGCAAGCUCUGCCUCCCGAGUUCACGCCAUUCUCCUGCCUCAGCCUCCCGAGUAGCUGGGACUACAGGCGCCCGCUACCAUGCCCGGCUAAUUUUUUUGUAUUUUUAGUAGAGACGGGGUUUCACCGUGUUAGCCAGGAUGGUCUCAAUCUCCUGAUCUUGUGAUCCGCCUGCCUCAGCCUCCCAAAGUGCUGGGAUUACAGGCGUAAGCCACCACGCCCCGGCCCUCUUCAUUUCUUUUUGCCUCUCUGCUUCCAGAGCAACAUAAACUCCCUGUGGGCAGGAACUGGGAUUGUUGAUUUCCACUGCUUCCCCAGGGCCUGAUAUCUAGAGUCGAAAGAAUGCACAUCUCAAAACUAUGUCCUGGUUCUUUUUCUACUUUCUUGCAUAUUCUUUUUCAGGCAGGAGUGCAGUGGCACGAUCUCAAUUCACUGCAACCUCUGCCUCCCGGGUUCAAGCAAUUCUCCUUCCUCAGCCUCCUGAGUAGCUGGGAUUACAGGCAUGCACCACCACACCCAGCUAAUCUUUGUAUUUUCAGUAGAGAUGGGGUUUCACCAUGUUGGUCAGGCUGGUCUCAAACUCCUGACCUCGUGAUCCGCCGGCCUCUGCCUCCCAAAGUACUGGUGCAUAUUCUUUUUCUGUCUUUCCUGCUACUCCCUCUUGCUCUUCCCACCCCUAAACUAUGUAGCCUCAAAGAUCUUACCUGGCUGACUGCUGGGCUUUCAAGAUAGUUUCUGGAAGAAGUCUCUAAAUCUAAGCCUUCAACUCUCAUCUCUGUUCUGAAUUUCAGACCUGGAAUUCUAACUGUCCACAAUACAUGGCUCCUCAAUAUAUCUUCCUGAAAUUACAAAUGACCAUACGGUACAGGUGUUACUAUAUUACCUGUAAGACCACACUCGGUGUCAUCUCCUGCAAACUAGUCCUCUCCUGACUCCUCUGUUUCUGUGAGUGAUUCUGCGAUGGCUUGAGGUCAUCCGUUUGCUUUGAAAGAUCACACACCAGGAUACAUACAGAGAUGUGACCCGGAUGGAUGGACCUUUGCCUCACAAUCAGGGUAGAAGCCUCUGGUUUUCUUAUUUCUUUGUCCUCCUCUGUGGUGUGACACAGGUUCAGGAGGAGGUACCCAGACACAGAAGAGAUGCUUUCCCUGUGCAGGCUUGCUGACAGUCUUGCCCACCACUCCUGGCCUCCUCCCUCUACAUGUCCACAUUCGCUGCUCUGACCCUGAGUUGGACCCAGCUAGGAAUUGUGACUUCAGUUACUAGUAUUUCCUCUGAGCCUCUAGUCAUGGUCAUGGGCUAAUCUGUAUAUGAAAACCCACUUGAAAGAAAUCCCAGUGCUGAAGAAAGAAUUGAAACAUACAGAUCGUUUCUUUGCUCAAGGGAGUGUGGAUUUCAGUGCUCUCACUGAGCAGAGGCUGAGGGUGACCACCUUGGAUCUUCCUGCAGGACACAGCCCAGAGAAACUGAGCCUGAAUUUGCUGCCAUGUUUUGAGGACAUUAUCCACGCUAGUCUCUUUCAUCUGGGCCGAGGUGGGUAAUUUUCCUUAGAGUCAAGUACUAGAAAAAGUUUUGCUUCUUCUAAGAGCUGGUACAUUGCCCUCUUGUGAAUGAGAGCCAUGUAUGUGACCACAACACCCUUUCAGUUGACCACUAAGAGACUGAAGGCCAAUUCCGGAUCAACUUUACAGCCGCCUACGGCCUGCUAUACCACCCAUGGCAUAGUUUCUGUGGUCUGAUGCUUUAUUUUUUAUUGCAUUUUACUAAUUUAUGGCAUGCAUAUCAUAUGAGCAGUCUCAAAUCCUCCCCAGAACAAGGUGAGGAAUAUAUUAAUAUUUAAAAUAAAAUAAACAAAAUGUCAGUGUG